ACAGUAGAUGAACGGUAGUGAAGUCAAGUCACUCCCGAUGAGUCAGUGAGAGCCCAAACAAAAUGGUGGAAUUUCUUCAGAGCUUCGUUUUAAACAUCAACAACUAGAGAAGACUCACUAUUUCCACCCAAUUCAGUGUUUUCCUGCUGCGUUGCCCUGAGAGACAGAAACUCAUCGACCUUCACUACUGAUGAGCAGCAGGGAUUCAUUCCCCCCGUUAAAGAAACAGUGUGGACCUCUGCCACAGCGGGUCGACUCUCAUCUCAAAGCUUCUGAAGGAAUAAGACAUGAGCAUCCCCACACCUGCAUCUCGAUGAGCAGCCUGUCGUGUAAUUUAAUGUGACUUCCCGCUCGCAAACGCCGAGGUAUCGAUCGGCAAGCAGAGUACACUCAGUGAUGAGUCACCCGGGGUUACUGAGGACGAUCUGGGCCAUACAUCAACAUUCAAACAUCAAAACCGGCUGCAUUCUUCACAUUAAAAGCGAUCUACAGGCUGAUAGAGGAAACACAGCGAGAUGCG